rnacentral:lncRNA from 1 species
CAGGUUUUUAAAAAUUUUCUCAUUAACCAUACUUAGUCCUAGAAUGAGGAUGUUCUGAGGUUUGGGAGUGAAAUUUGUGUAAGAUUCAGGAAAAAGUACUCGACUGUUUUAAGCCUCCAAGUCCUCAUCUGUAAAGUGGGGAAGGUAGUUGUCUGAGGAACAAAUGGGACCCAUCUACAAAUAUGGAUCACAGAGGUUGGCAGACAUAAGUACCCAAUAAGUAUUAGUUGUUAUUAAGGAUAUUGUUGCUUUUAAUGAUUUUAUAAUAACUUUUAUCAGGUGAGAUUUCUUAAAUCAUAUCAAACCCAUUUCUUGGGAAGAAUUUAGCAUUAGUUAUGGAGGAUGGUUUUGGUUAUAGGUUUUUGUGCUGUAUUUGCUACUUCCAUUAGUUUGAAGUAUUGCCUAUAUUUAACUUUUCCAUAUCUAUGUUUUUGUUUUGUUUUGUUUUUGGAACCUAGGGGCACUUAACCACUGAGUCACAUCUCCAGCCCUUUUUUAUAUUUUAUUUAGAGACAGGGUGUCCUGACUUUGUGUAGGACCUUGCUAAAUUGCUAAGGCUGGGCUGGGCACAGUGGUGCAUAUCUGUAAUCC